ensembl:lncRNA
AAAUACUGUAGCGGGCCAGGGCUGUUCGGGGUUUGUUCUGUUAUUACAAUUAUGUGUUUGUUGUCAUGUUGUUAUGGUGACGAGUGACGCACUCUCUCGGCGACUGUGUUUCCGGUGAGAGAGUGCCUUUUUUUUGUGUUGUUAUGUUGUGGUUGCCGCGCUGAGGAGGGAGAUAGCGUCAGUGUUCUGGGCCGGUCGUAAAUAAACGGGUGCUCCCAAAGAAACCUUUGUCUCCUCCGUGACUGAGCUCGCCACAUUGGUGUCAGAAGUGGGAUAGCUCACCCUCGCCGGAAUGGAGAGAGACACUCAGAGGCUGGAGCAAGCCGUCGAGGAGAGUAUUCGCUGCUUGGGAAGCUGGCGAUUGAAGAGAGAGGAAGCGAGCGGCCAUGUAAGUCCCCUGACAGGUCCCGAUGGCGCGAGCGCACCGCGGCAGCGGCCCAUCGCGACAGACGCUGGGACAGUGCUUCAUGGGCUGCCUUUGUCGACCGACACGCCGGGCCCCCGACAGCGAGCAGUGAUGCCUGCAACGCCAGCUAAGGUACCGAAAUACAACGGGCUAACCCCGCUAGAGCCCUACCUCUCACAAGUACGGCUAGCCGCGAGGCAUAAUGGCUGGAGCGACGAAGAGGCUGCUACACACCUAGCGCUAGCAUUGGAAGGAGAUGCACUGCAGGUACUCCAUGACCUAGCCCCGUCAGAGCAGCAUGAGCUCCAGGCCCUCACCAUAGCACUCGAGAGGCGAUUUGGGCAGCGGCACUCCACUGAUCAGAGCAGGGAGCAGCUGACCAACCGGAGCCGUAGGCCGGGGGAGAGCCUGGGCAUCUUUGCAGCGGAUGUGUUGCUGUAUGCUCGUCGUGGCUACCCAGAGUUCCCAGCAGCAGCCCGUGAGGAGCUUAGCCUGCAUGCUUUCCUGCGAGGACUUUUUCCAGAGCGACUACGCCAACACGUCUGCCUGGCCAUGCCUCAAACUCUCCGUGAGGCGCUCCUUGAGGCUGAAAGGGCCGAGCUGGUGCUCACCUCACCACCUAACCAGCAGGUGCCCCCCCCAAACUACCCUCAAAUCAGAGCCGCAGACUACGACAGGGAGGGGGAGGUCCCGGAGGUAUGCCAGCUGCAGCCCUCGGUGCCCUGGAGGCGUCCCCGUCGACCGACCGACCGCUGCUACCGGUGCAAUGAGCCUGGCCACGUGGCGCGCGACUGCCUGGCGCCUGCCCCAAAGGCCAGAACUAUGUGGCCUCAGGGGGAUGAGAGGGGGAGUGGUACAGCAAGGGGACCACCACUCCAGCUUCCUGCUCCCCUCCAAGAACGAUGCAUGGUGGCGGGCCUAGUCGGGCAUCUCAAGGGACUCUACCUGAGCUGCUGUGUUGAGGACCAGCCUUGCCAGGCCCUGGUGGACACGGGGUCCACCAUUUCCCUAAUACGACCUGGUGUGUUUCCUGGAACAUCCGGGCCGCUUGUGAUGGGUUGGUCACCCACCGACACCCAGCUGAUGACAGUGACGGGGGAGAGAACUGACAUGCGGGGGAAGAAACCGUUGUGGAUCCGAGUGAAGGAUCUGGAGCUGGUGCACGACUUCUGGCUUGCUGACAUCCAAGACCAGUGCAUCAUCGGCCUUGAUCUGCUGACCCACUGGUGGGGCUGCGUUGACACCGCGAAGCUGGCUAUCACUCUUGGUACAGAGACUCUGGCCCUCCAGUGCGGUCAAAAGCAGGGAACCGGAGACUGCAGGCAGACUCGGCUGGUUCAGCACACCACCGACACCGGCUCUGCUCAACCCAUCUGUCUGCGCCCAUGCCAGCUGCCCCUCUCGCAGGCCCAGGAGGCACGGGGCGUGGCUACUGCUCGGGCCACAGCCGGCGGAGGGGGAUGGCUCUCGUUGAUCAUGCAGCAGCUGAAGCAGGAGCAGGAGGCUGAUGCGACGUUGGUUCAGGUGGGGGCCUGGCUGGAGGCAGCACGACGCCCAGGCUGGACAGGGGUGUCAGGACAGGGGCCCGAAGUGAAGGCCUACUACUCCCAGUACAACAACCUGGAGACCCACGACGGCCUCCUGUACCGGAGAUGGCGGGCCCCCGGGCAGGGCAGAGAUCUCCUGCAGCUGUUGGUGCCUCGGACGCUGCGGUCGCAGGUGCUCGAGCUCGUCCACGGCUCGGUGGGGGCCGGCCACUAUGGGAAUGCCAAAACUCUCCGCCGUCUCAGGGGACAGUUCUACUGGCCUGGUUGUCGACGGGAAGUGGAACUUCAUGUGCACUGCUGUGACACCUGUACGGCACGGAAGGGCCCCACUCAACGCUUCACUGCCCCCCUACAGCAGCAUCGGGUGGGGGCCCCGAUGGAGAGAGUGGGAGGAGAUGUCCUAGGGCCUUUCCCCGUCCCCGAGGCAGAGAACCGGCGCGUGUUGGUGGCCAGGGACUGCUACAGGAGGCUGAGGGAGCGGCGCCAGGCCCAGGUCAGUGCCGGAGUACGACAGAAAAGAGCCUGCUACACCAGGUGCCGAGGGGGAGCUUUCGUGCCUGGCGACAAGGUUUGGGUGUACUGCCCGGUUCGCAAGAGAGGGGUGUCCCCCAGGCUGUGCGGUCACUGGCAAGGGCCGGCGGAGGUCGUGGGGAGGCUAACAGAAGUGGUGUACCGGAUCCGCAUGCCGGGUCCAGGACGCGUGGCGGUGUUGCACCAGGACAGGCUCUCACCGUACUGCCCGCCCGCUCCCGCAGCCGCCAGGGCAGGGGAUGCUGGUGGCACCCCAGGUUCUCAUCCAAGUGACUAUUCCCCUGCUGGUCCAGAUCUGCCUGCGCGCCGAAGGAAGACACAUGGACAUUUGCAGGACUUUGUGUUGGGUAAUGGGGUUGUCGGGGACAACUGACCCCUUAGGUGGGGGCUAUGUAGCGGGCCAGGGCUGUUCGGGGC